rnacentral:snoRNA from 1 species
AGCCUCCUGGUGCUUGCCACAGGCUGUGUUCUUACACUGACUGUAUAGAAAAAGGAGGUAAAGUAAACAUAUCCCACAUACACCUCAGCCCAGGCCCUGUGCCUGGUCUCUAUUGUGAAUGGGGAGAUGUGG